UACGGAGGGUCCAAGCGUUGUUCGGAAUUACUGGGCGUAAAGCGAGUGUAGGCGGUUACGUUAGUCGGAUGUGAAAUCCCAGGGCCCAACCCUGGAACUGCAUCCGAUACUGCGUAACUAGAGUCCUGGAGAGGAUGGCGGAAUUCCGGGUGUAGAGGUGAAAUUCGUAGAUAUCCGGAGGAACACCAGUGGCGAAGGCGGCCAUCUGGACAGUGACUGACGCUGAGACUCGAAAGUGUGGGGAGCAAACAGG
rnacentral:rRNA from 1 species